UUGAACGCUGGCGGCAGGCCUAACACAUGCAAGUCGAACGGUAACAGGAAGCAGCUUGCUGCUUUGCUGACGAGUGGCGGACGGGUGAGUAAUGUCUGGGAAACUGCCCGAUGGAGGGGGAUAACUACUGGAAACGGUAGCUAAUACCGCAUAACGUCGCAAGACCAAAGAGGGGGACCUUAGGGCCUCUUGCCAUCGGAUGUGCCCAGAUGGGAUUAGCUAGUAGGUGGGGUAAUGGCUCACCUAGGCGACGAUCCCUAGCUGGUCUGAGAGGAUGACCAGCCACACUGGAACUGAGACACGGUCCAGACUCCUACGGGAGGCAGCAGUGGGGAAUAUUGCACAAUGGGCGCAAGCCUGAUGCAGCCAUGCCGCGUGUAUGAAGAAGGCCUUCGGGUUGUAAAGUACUUUCAGCGGGGAGGAAGGGAGUAAAGUUAAUACCUUUGCUCAUUGACGUUACCCGCAGAAGAAGCACCGGCUAACUCCGUGCCAGCAGCCGCGGUAAUACGGAGGGUGCAAGCGUUAAUCGGAAUUACUGGGCGUAAAGCGCACGCAGGCGGUUUGUUAAGUCAGAUGUGAAAUCCCCGGGCUCAACCUGGGAACUGCAUCUGAUACUGGCAAGCUUGAGUCUCGUAGAGGGGGGUAGAAUUCCAGGUGUAGCGGUGAAAUGCGUAGAGAUCUGGAGGAAUACCGGUGGCGAAGGCGGCCCCCUGGACGAAGACUGACGCUCAGGUGCGAAAGCGUGGGGAGCAAACAGGAUUAGAUACCCUGGUAGUCCACGCCGUAAACGAUGUCGACUUGGAGGUUGUGCCCUUGAGGCGUGGCUUCCGGAGCUAACGCGUUAAGUCGACCGCCUGGGGAGUACGGCCGCAAGGUUAAAACUCAAAUGAAUUGACGGGGGCCCGCACAAGCGGUGGAGCAUGUGGUUUAAUUCGAUGCAACGCGAAGAACCUUACCUGGUCUUGACAUCCACGGAAGUUUUCAGAGAUGAGAAUGUGCCUUCGGGAACCGUGAGACAGGUGCUGCAUGGCUGUCGUCAGCUCGUGUUGUGAAAUGUUGGGUUAAGUCCCGCAACGAGCGCAACCCUUAUCCUUUGUUGCCAGCGGUCCGGCCGGGAACUCAAAGGAGACUGCCAGUGAUAAACUGGAGGAAGGUGGGGAUGACGUCAAAUCAUCAUGCCCCUUAUGUCCUGGGCUACACACGUGCUACAAUGGACGGUACAACGAGUUGCGAAACCGCAAGGUCAAGCUAAUCUCUUAAAGCCGUUCUCAGUUCGGAUUGCAGGCUGCAACUCGCCUGCAUGAAGUUGGAAUCGCUAGUAAUCGUGGAUCAGCAUGCCACGGUGAAUACGUUCCCGGGUCUUGUACACACCGCCCGUCACACCACGAGAGUUUGUAACACCCGAAGUCGGUGAGGUAACCUUUUAGGGGCCAGCCGCCUAAGGUGGGAUGGAUGAUUGGGGUG
rnacentral:rRNA from 1 species